rnacentral:rRNA from 1 species
UACGGAGGGUGCAAGCGUUGUCCGGAAUCACUGGGCGUAAAGGGCGCGUAGGCGGCUCAUGAAGUCUGUGGUGAAAGUCCGGGGCUCAACCUCGGAUCGGCCGUGGCGACUCGUGGGCUGGAGCACUGUAGAGGCGGGUGGAAUUCCUGGUGUAGCGGUGGAAUGCGUAGAGAUCCGGAAGAACACCAGUGGCGAAGGCGGCCCGCUGGGCAGUGGCUGACGCUGAGGCGCGACAGCGUGGGGAGCAAACAGG